rnacentral:lncRNA from 1 species
AUGCCGUCAGCACCCAGCCCACUACCAGCCACUGUCACACGAGGAGAGGAGAGGAGAGGAAAACACGCUCGGAGCCAACCGCUCCCCAUGCAAAGCCCAUGUGCACGGCACAGCAGCUAUCGGCAGCCCAUUCUGGCAGAAACGCAGCACAUCUCCUCACCGGAGACGGUCAGAAGUUGUCCGCGCGUUAUUUCGGAGAGGGUUUCAAGAAGCAAGCCCAGCCCUGGGCUUCAGCACAUGGCAAGUCUCGUGUGGGUACAGCAAGUGGGGAUGCUGCCGAGCAUCACUUCUACUCCACCAAGACAGAGUGAGUUCAGCCAUGAGACCUUUGGGAGUCUGGGUAGCAAAUAUGUUGCAAUGAUACUUGGGAGCAGCACAGCUUGUGCCUGAGGAUACCAGAGGAGACAGCAGCCAGCUCACUCAGAUGGUGAAACUGAAGGAUGCUCUUACAGCGGGUGAGCAUUUUAAAACAGGAUUUUUCCUGUCACAUUUGUGUUGAUACCAACGUGGUGGAUUUGGGAUCUUCCUCCUUUUUGUCUGUCCAGGUGGAAGCCAGCAGUCGCUGCUCCUGCUGGCUGCUCCCAGCACGGCUGCUGCUCCGCAGGGCUGGGGGCAGUGCUUACCAAUACCCAGAGUCAGAAGUCAAUACCUGUCCGGUGAGGAGAUUUAGUCAAUUUCUGGGAAGAAAUCCAAUCAGCAUUUGAAAUGUGUUUGUUUUUUUCUUGCAGCAGUGCUGUUAAAAGGAUCAGAGCAAUAGAAGAACGAAGUCAGAAGGUGGAAGAGCACCGCAAUCCACCACGCAGCAGUGCUGGGAGCAGAUACACAAAAUUUUGUGAUGACAUCCAAGUUCCCCAAACUGUUGUUGCAAUAAUUUUGCAGUUCAGCUGAGCUUCAGAUGUCCAUCUCCAGCUACACUAAAAUUCAUGAUGCUUUACCUGACUCCCUCAGCCAGCCCAAAAGUCAUCAGCAGACUCCUCUUUCCAUCACCGCUCAGAACGCUGGCUGCAAAGCUACCAGAAAAAAAAAAAAUCAAUCUCAUUCUUAGUAUUCUCUAUUACACUUCCAGCAAGUUGUUUCAAUUACCUUUUAUCCAGCUAAGAAGAGGUAGAGAUAAUUAGCAAUGCACAGCCUCCUCCUGCAAUGCUGUGCACACGUGGAUGAUUAUUGACCCCCUUUUGGAGCCAAGAGCAGCUCAAGGACUUUGCCUUCUUAGCUCUCUUCUGCGCCUAGACGUGGAAAAUGGAAAAUAAAGAGGAUGUAAAGGCUCUGUGAGAUUUGCA